rnacentral:lncRNA from 1 species
AUUUUCCUCCCGCCAGAGGGUGCUGUCGGGUUUUGGAAGGGAUGCCAGGUUUCCUCACCCACCCACUCCCUGUCAGCGGCUAAUCUGGAUUCUUUCUGGUGGGGGGGCACCUUAGCGGGAGGGGGGGCUCUGCUAAAGGCGACCUCUCUUCUCCCCGGUUUUUCCCCUCAAGGGCCAAGCGGGCAUGACUGGAAGGACAGGACGUGAAGGAGCCCGAGGACGGCAGGGUUCUCCAGGAGAAGGAGGUCUAAGGGGCCCCUCAGGAUUCCCUGGCCCUUACGGUGACAAAGGCAGCGUCGGGGACCCCGGCAUGCAAGGAGACAUGGGUUUCAAGGUGCACAUGAGAAGCACACUUGUGUCGAUGAUGGUGUAUACAAAGAAAAUAUGUCAGCAAUGA